CAGAGGGUGCAAGCGUUGUUCGGAAUUAUUGGGCGUAAAGCGCGUGUAGGCGGCUUAGCAAGUCGGGUGUGAAAGCCCUCAGCUCAACUGAGGAAGUGCGCCCGAAACUGCUGAGCUUGAGUACCGGAGAGGAUGGCGGAAUUCCCCAAGUAGAGGUGAAAUUCGUAGAUAUGGGGAGGAACACCGGUGGCGAAGGCGGCCAUCUGGACGGUUACUGACGCUGAGACGCGAAAGCGUGGGGAGCAAACAGGAUUAGAUACCCUGGUAGUCCACGCCGUAAACGAUGAGAACUAGGUGUCGCGGGUGUUGACCCCUGCGGUGCCGAAGCUAACGCAUUAAGUUCUCCGCCUGGGAGGUACGGUCGCAAGAUUA
rnacentral:rRNA from 1 species